rnacentral:miRNA from 1 species
UCGUUGUCGUUGAAACCUGAA